UUACGGCCACAUCACGUUUAAACACCGGUUCCCGUGCGAUCACCGAAGUUAAGCAACGUCGAGCUUGGUUCGUACCUAGAUGGGUGAUCGCUUACGAAUACUAGGUGC